rnacentral:rRNA from 1 species
CAGUCGCCGCGGUAAUACGUAGGUGGCAAGCGUUGUCCGGAAUUAUUGGGCGUAAAGCGCGCGCAGGCGGAUAGGUCAGUCUGUCUUAAAAGUUCGGGGCUUAACCCCGUGAUGAGAUGGAAACUGCCAAUCUAGAGUAUCGGAGAGGAAAGUGGAAUUCCUAGUGUAGCGGUGAAAUGCGUAGAUAUUAGGAAGAACACCAGUGGCGAAGGCGACUUUCUGGACGAAAACUGACGCUGAGGCGCGAAAGCCAGGGGAGCGAACGGGAUUAGAUACCCCCGUAGUCCCUGUCUCUUAUACA